UACAAUCUCUCUCCUCUCAAACAAACUUUUUUUUUAAAACUGCAAUCUAUGUUUCCAAAUAAAUCUUUUGUUUUUAACUCAAUAUAUGUUUCCAAACAAACUUUUUUUAAUCUGCAAUCCAUGUUUCUAGACAAACUUUUUUUUUUAAACUGUAAUCUAUGUUUCUAAACAAUUUUUUUUUUAAAUGUUAUUCAUGUUUCCAAACAAAUCUAAUUU
rnacentral:lncRNA from 1 species